rnacentral:rRNA from 1 species
GAGUGAACGCUGGCGGUAGGCCUAACACAUGCAAGUCGAACGGCAGCACAGUAAGAGCUUGCUCUUACGGGUGGCGAGUGGCGGACGGGUGAGGAAUACAUCGGAAUCUACUUUUUCGUGGGGGAUAACGUAGGGAAACUUACGCUAAUACCGCAUACGACCUACGGGUGAAAGCAGGGGAUCUUCGGACCUUGCGCGAUUGAAUGAGCCGAUGUCGGAUUAGCUAGUUGGCGGGGUAAAGGCCCACCAAGGCGACGAUCCGUAGCUGGUCUGAGAGGAUGAUCAGCCACACUGGAACUGAGACACGGUCCAGACUCCUACGGGAGGCAGCAGUGGGGAAUAUUGGACAAUGGGCGCAAGCCUGAUCCAGCCAUACCGCGUGGGUGAAGAAGGCCUUCGGGUUGUAAAGCCCUUUUGUUGGGAAAGAAAAGCAGCAGGUUAAUACCCCGCUGUUCUGACGGUACCCAAAGAAUAAGCACCGGCUAACUUCGU